AAGAGAUUCGCUCGAUCGUCUCACUUGCUGACACACCAGCGAGUUCACAAGUGACAGCAGAGGGCAUUAGAAGGGGAAGAUUUGCAGAUCGGUAACUCGAACCAAAAAUCACAUCAAGAUCUGACAGAAUGACUCAGUUCAUCAAGACCUGAAUAUCAUCAGCUUUUGAAUGUGGAAGGAGAAAUGUUUGUCUGUUCUGACUGUAGGGAAAGAUUUGAAACAACUGGGAAAAGCACCGAGACACACACACACCCGAGUGAGAAUAUUCCAGUGCACUGACUGUGGAAUGAGCUUUAACCAGUUACACAGCCUAAACACAAACAGAACCAUUCGCUGUGUGGAGAAGCCAUACACGUGUUCUGUGUGUGAACGAGGCUUCAACUGAUUGUCCAACCUGGAAAGACCUAAAGACACGGACACCGUGGAGAAACCAUGGAAAUGUGGGGACUGUGGGAAGGGAUUCAAUUACCCAUCCCAGCUGGAGAUCCAUCGACGCAGUCACACCGGGGAGAGGCCGUUCACCUGCUCGGUGUGUGGGGAGGGAUUCACAUUAUCUUCCAGCUUACAUAUACACCAGAGGACUCACACCGGGGAGAAGCCAUUAAACUGCUCCGUGUGUGGGAAGAGAUUCAAUUUUCUGUCCCAGCUGCUGAGACACCAGCUGGUUCAUAUUGAUGAGAGGCUGUUUAACUGCUCUGAUUGUGAGAAGAGCUUUAAAAGACGAGAGGACCUGGUCAAGCACCAGUUUGUUCACACUGAGAGACGGUUCAGUUGUUCUCACUGUGGGAAAGUGUUUAGACAAUCACUGAACCUCAUAAAACACCAACAAGUUCAUACUGGGGAGAGGGCACUCACCUGCUCCGUGUGUGGGAAGGGGUUCACUCGACUGUCUCACCUCAGCUCACACCAACUUGUUCACACUGAUAACAGACCUUUCCAAUGUUCUGAAUGUGAGAAGACCUUUAAAACUGCAGGUGAUCUUCUGAGACACCAGCGAAUUCACACUGAGGAGAGGCCAUUUACCUGCUCCAUCUGCCAGAAGGGAUUUAUCUGUUUGACCAACCUCAAGCUGCACCAGCGAGUUCACUCUGAUAGGAAACCUUUCCAAUGUUCUGACUGUGAGAAGAGCUUUAAAACUACAAGGGAUCUACUGAUGCACCAGCGCAUUCACACAGGGGAGAGGCCAUUCACCUGCUCCGUAUGUGGAAAGGGAUUCACCCGUUCGUCCCACCUCCUGACACACCAGCAGGUUCACACAGGGGAGAGGCCAUUCACCUGCUCCGUAUGUGGGAAGGGAUUCACUCGCCUAGCUCACCUCAAUUCACAUCAACUUGUUCACACUGAUAACAGACCUUUCAAAUGUUCUGAAUGUGAGAAGACUUUUAAAACCCCAGGUGUUCUGCUGAGACACCAGCGAGUUCACACUGUGGAGAGGCCGUUCACUUGCUCCGUGUGCAGGAAGGGAUUCACUCAUUCGUCCCACUUAAUGAGACAUCAGCGAGUUCACAACUGAAUGCAGGGGUUGGAUUCUGCCUUUAUCACUGCUGUUAAUCACAUCCAGCACUCAACCAGGUUCAUUCUGAAAGUUGGGCUGACGUUAAUAGCCACGCAUUUGGGCUGGAGUUUAAUUCAUUUGACAAAUCUCAAGAUAUUCAUGUUGUUUGAAACACAAAGUGUCGAGUCCUUAAUUUCUCCAAGAUUAGAGGAGAAUAAUUGAUGUCCUGUUACUGAUUGCUCUAUUUUUGGGCCUUCAACCCUUUCUAACUCUAGAUUAUUUCAGUCCUCAUACCUUUGGUUACUCUCAUGAACCUUUCAGUGUCUCUCUGGGGAAGGUAUCGGUAACACUCCCGGGAUCACGAAACACAAAACACAGUCUGUUAAACACUUUCAGCUGCUGGACUUAGUAUGUACCCCACAGCAAAAAUCAAAUAAACCAAUUUUGUGUUGAA